rnacentral:rRNA from 1 species
UACGUAGGGGGCAAGCGUUGUCCGGAUUUAUUGGGCGUAAAGCGCACGUAGGCGGCCGACUAAGUCGGGUGUGAAAGCCCAGGGCUCAACCCUGGAAGUGCACUCGAAACUGGUCGGCUUGAAUAUGGAAGAGGGUCGCGGAAUUCCCGGUGUAGAGGUGAAAUUCGUAGAUAUCGGGAGGAACACCAGUGGCGAAGGCGGCGACCUGGGCCAAUAUUGACGCUGAGGUGCGAAAGCGUGGGGAGCAAACAGG